rnacentral:rRNA from 1 species
GCGAGAAAACUUUGCAAUGUGCGAAAGCACGACAAGGUUAAUCCGAGUGGUUUCUGCUAAAGAAACCUUUUGUCAGUCCUAGAAACACUAACGAAUAAGGGGUGGGCAAGUUCUGGUGUCAGCCGCCGCGGUAAAACCAGCACCUCAAGUGGUCAGGAUGAUUAUUGGGCCUAAAGCAUCCGUAGCUCGUUUUGUAAGUUUUCGGUUAAAUCCAUGCGCUUAACGUAUGGGCUGCCGGGAAUACUGCAUAACUAGGAAGUGGGAGAGGUAGACGGUACUCGGUAGGAAGGGGUAAAAUCCUUUGAUCUAUUGAUGACCACCUGUGGCGAAGGCGGUCUACCAGAACACGUUCGACGGUGAGGGAUGAAAGCUGGGGGAGCAAACCGGGAUUAGAUACCCCCGUAG